UUUCUGAGCAUGCACUGCCUAUUGACCGUUUUAUAACUGGCCGAGUGUAAAUAAUUUUUUUCCCCGAUUUUAGUGAUUACUUGUUUCAAGCAAUGUCGGAAAUGAAAGAAGUCAGCUAGUGAAAAAUGAAAUCUCCAGAAGUAGGUGAUGCUAUUAUUUCCUUCUCCGUUGAGUUUUAAUCCAAACUAAAAGAAAAUGAUGAGAAGAUACAGCGCUUCAUAGAAAAAUCAUUUUUGCUUAAUUAUUACAGACUCUUAUUUUUGUGUAGACGUUUUAAUGAACAGACAUUCUGAAAUGAUGUUCAUGAGUGGCUACUACUAUUGCGCCCUGCAAGACCUUAUGAUAAUGAAUUGGCUGAAUACAUGAUAAUACUUACUAUAGUAUGGAGUUUGUAUGCUCUUUUAACAAAACGACCAUGGUGUGCCUGGUUGUCUCUCUGUUCAGCAGUUAGAUGCUUUGCCGUCUCUCCAGUUGGUAACAAGCAAGGCAUUUGUUGUAUUAUGCUUGCUAUUUCUGCUAUAACCUUGUGCUACUUGGAAAAGUCUUUACCAACUGUUUUGGAGUUUUUCGAAGACUAUUUUAGCAAAAAUUAGCAGAAAGAAGAGGAAUGUAUCCAUACAUUUGU